rnacentral:rRNA from 1 species
CAGCAGCCACGGUAAUACGGAGGGCGCGAGCGUUACCCGGAUUUACUGGGCGUAAAGGGCGUGUAGGCGGCCUGGGGCGUCCCAUGUGAAAGGCCACGGCUCAACCGUGGAGGAGCGUGGGAUACGCUCAGGCUAGAGGGUGGGAGAGGGUGGUGGAAUUCCCGGAGUAGCGGUGAAAUGCGCAGAUACCGGGAGGAACGCCGAUGACGAAGGCAGCCACCUGGUCCACUUCUGACGCUGAGGCGCGAAAGCGUGGGGAGCAAACCGGAUUAGAUACCCCAGUAGUCCCUGUCUCUUAUAC